CCUACGGGUGGCAGCAGUGAGGAAUAUUGGUCAAUGGCCGAGAGGCUGAACCAGCCAAGUCGCGUGAGGGAAGACGGCCCUACGGGUUGUAAACCUCUUUUGUCGGGGAGCAAAGCGAGGCACGUGUGACCCGUUGAGAGUACCCGAAGAAAAAGCAUCGGCUAACUCCGUGCCAGCAGCCGCGGUAAUACGGAGGAUGCGAGCGUUAUCCGGAUUUAUUGGGUUUAAAGGGUGCGCAGGCGGCCGUGUAAGUCAGCGGUAAAAUUGCGGGGCUCAACCCCGUAGUGCCGUUGAAACUGCAUGCCUUGAGUGCGCGAGAAGUAUGCGGAAUGCGCGGUGUAGCGGUGAAAUGCUUAGAUAUCACGCAGAACCCCGAUUGCGAAGGCAGCAUACCGGCUCGAAACUGACGCUGAUGCACGAAAGCGUGGGUAUCGAACAGGAUUAGAUACCCCAGUAGUC
rnacentral:rRNA from 1 species